rfam:Branchiostoma floridae genomic scaffold BRAFLscaffold_14, whole genome shotgun sequence.
UGGCAAUGAGGACACAAUUUGUAAAUACUCACAUGUGAUUACAUUUAUACGCUAUACUGAGCCACAU